rnacentral:misc_RNA from 1 species
UUGAAUGAAUGUAGAGUUGGUUGUCGCUGGCCCUUUCGGGGUAUGUGCACGCCUUCUCUUUCAUCCACACACACCUGUGCACUUGUGAGACGGAGGGCUUUAAUUAGUCUUCCGUCUAUUCAACCACACAAACUCAUUGUAUUUAAACUGAAUGUAAUUGAUGUAACGCAUCAUUAGAAC